UAGAUGCGAGAGUAGAGCAUAUCAAUAAGCGGAGGAAAAGAAACUAACAAGGAUUCCCUUAGUAACGGCGAGUGAAGCGGGAAGAGCUCAAAUUUGAAAUCUUCAAGGUUUUACCUUGACGAAUUGUAGUUUAAAGAAGUGUUUUCUGUUGAAGUUUUGGUAAAAGUUCUUUGGAAUAGGACAUCAUAGAGGGUGAGAAUCCCGUAUUUGACCAUUAUUUUCAGCUGUGUGAUACACUUUCAAAGAGUCGGAUUGUUUGGGAAUGCAGUCCAAAAUGGGUGGUAAAUUUCAUCUAAAGCUAAAUAUUGGCGAGAGACCGAUAGCGAACAAGUACCGUGAGGGAAAGAUGAAAAGAACUUUGAAAAGAGAGUUAAACAGUACGUGAAAUUGUCAAAAGGGAAGCGUUUGACACCAGUGUUGUUUUCUCGAAAAUCAAUUAAAAAAGGCCGGAUUUUGUGUUGUAUUGACCUUAAAAGCUUUCUUCACUCUUUUCUUGUCUUUUUUAAUGCACUUUUCGUUUAACAAGUCAACAUCAGUUUCUUUUGUUGUAAAAGGGUCAUUGGAAGGUGGCUUUCUUUUCGGAGAAAGUGUUUAUAGCCUUUGAUCUCUGCAACCGGAGAGACUGAGGUCUGCAGCGUAGACUCUUCGGGGUUAGAUACAUUUGUGCUAAGCUAUAGCUUUUUAUAGACAACUUGUUGACUAUAUUUAGUCUUGUGGCUUACUCGCUUAUGCUAUUUUACCUACGCUUAGGAUGUUGACACACGCGCGUGCUCG
rnacentral:rRNA from 1 species